rnacentral:rRNA from 1 species
AAAUUGAAGAGUUUGAUCAUGGCUCAGAUUGAACGCUGGCGGCAGGCCUAACACAUGCAAGUCGAACGGUAACAGGAAGCAGCUUGCUGCUUUGCUGACGAGUGGCGGACGGGUGAGUAAUGUCUGGGAAACUGCCUGAUGGAGGGGGAUAACUACUGGAAACGGUGGCUAAUACCGCAUAAUGUCGCAAGACCAAAGAGGGGGACCUUCGGGCCUCUUGCCAUCAGAUGUGCCCAGAUGGGAUUAGCUUGUUGGUGAGGUAACGGCUCACCAAGGCGACGAUCCCUAGCUGGUCUGAGAGGAUGACCAGCCACACUGGAACUGAGACACGGUCCAGACUCCUACGGGAGGCAGCAGUGGGGAAUAUUGCACAAUGGGCGCAAGCCUGAUGCAGCCAUGCCGCGUGUAUGAAGAAGGCCUUCGGGUUGUAAAGUACUUUCAGCGGGGAG